UUUCAGCUAUUGAUAUAACCUGAUCAUCACCACUUCUAUGUCUUAUCACAUAAUAUUAGCUGGUCUAAACCAGAUAUUAUUUCUGGUAAACAAUACUACCUUUAUAGCUUAGACCAUAGCACUAGUACAACUCAGAGCAUUAGUGACCUCUCACCAUGAAGCUUGCAAGGGAGAGGGAUUUAAUCUCUGGUAGUUGAGUCAGCUGCACCCAAGGGUGUCCUUAGUCCUGCUGGUGUGAGUAUAUCGUGGCUUAUUGACAAGAUGGGUGUGACGUGACAGCUACCAAGGAGAAGAGUCCAUUCCAUGUAAGCAGGCAGCAUGCAGCAGAACACAGCUGUAUAAUCUGGACUCGUGUCUAGUCUAGAAGCAGUCCAGUUUGGCCACAGGCACAGUGACACAGAGUGUGGUAAAUGAGGUCUGCUUGCCCACAGUUAGCAUCACCUUUACACCCCUAAGACCUUCAAGCAGAGCCUCCCACAGAAAAAAAAACAAGCCAGCAAAGGUAGGGUAGCUUUAAACGGUAUCUGAUCUACCAAAGCUUCAUCAAGCAGCAUCCUUUAGGCAGGAAGGCUGCCCUGCAAAGAUCUAGGAGGAAAAUGUGGGUUUUUCUGCCCUGUCUUCUCCAAUGUCCAUGGGUAUCUAUGGCAACUGUUUGCACUGAGAUAGGAAUUGUGUUUCAGGUACAUAUGAGUCAGCAGUUGGGAAUUCUCUUACUGGAUUAAUGUCUCCAACUUGGAUAACCUGUUUUGAACACUUCCAGUACCUUAAUUGCUCAGAGCAUUCUCUCUCAAAGCUUUUUUUGAUGAACGUAAAUAGAGCUUGCAUUUCUUCUUUCACAGAAAAAGCAUUUGUGAUUUGUGUCUAUGCCCAUCAAGUAGCAUUCAUGCUGCCAGAAAUGCUACACACAGGUGGUAGGGAUUUGCAUUUUCAUGCGAGCUGAUGACGACUCCCCUUCUCGGUCAGUUCUGCUUUUUAUAGCUCAUUGCUUAUGAAUUACUGUUGCUUCUGAAAUUCUGGGCUGCGAUUCUCAUAUCCAUUUUUCUUUUGCUCUGUUUCUGAUCAGCUGCCUACUUUUGUUCAUGACAUCAUCUGCUGCUGCUUCUGUGCUUCAGGAGAAAUUGUUAACAUCUGAAUCAGUUGCUUUGGUUAUAGACAAUAUUUCCUAUGUCAGAUUCCCAGAACUGUGAGAGCAUGUUCUUGUCUCUCUCUCAUAUAGAGCAUCCCCUUUUCCUUGCUCAUACGUAACGUGAAAAAGAGCAUGAGCAAGUGAGUCUGAGAGGCUAAUACAUUAAAAUUCAUGUUUUUAAUUGGAGAUUAUUGCUUGUUUUUCUGAGGUUAUUUAUUUUCUCUGCGUAACUUACCUUUUACUUCCAAAAAGGAUCAAGUUUCAAGCUCUGGCCAAGUAACCCUUAUUUCACAAGAAACACAUUGGCCAUUUCACUCCAGUUCUGACUGAGCAGCUAUUGUGUUACAAAAGACACACCUGGCAACUGGGGGGCUCAUUUUUUUCUGCCAUGCCAGCUGCCUUGGAAGUUGCUGAGGAACCCAAAUGCACAAGCAAGGAAAAUCAAAGCCAUUAGGUUAUCUGCCAGACAGGAGUCCUGCCUGUGGUCUGCCUGUGGAUAACAUUAAGGAGAUAAAGCUCAACCAACUCUUUCUCUCUUCCUCUCUCAUCCUUUUGGUUACGUGCUUCUUUCUAUUAGGCAACCUCUUAUUUCAUGCUCCCUCUUCCCUUUGAAAUUCUCUUCUUGGAGGCCUAAAGAUUGCAGUGUCCCACCUGCAGGGGCAAAAAUGGCCCCUACCACCAAAAUGGGAGAUGUCUGAAAAAGUCCCCUGGUGAGAUGACGCCUUGUUUGGCUGCCUGCUGAGGACCCAAGGCAGCUCCAAGCCCUAAGGUAAGUGGCUGUGACAUUACAAUGGUCUUUGCUGUCAGUAUAAUUAUGCAUCAGAAAAUCAAGCAGCUUCUGGAAGCUAGUAGUAGUUUCCUAAAAAUAGUAAUGAGUUAAAUGUUAGUUGCUCUUUUACCAGCAAAUUGUGGAUGUCAAAUGUGCACACACACACACAACUGCCUCCUAUAAUUCGUCUACUUUUAACCACUUGUACAGAUUAAAUUGAGUGACAUGCAAAACAGAUAUUAAAGACAUAUGAAUACUAAGUUGAGCAUAUCAAAUGAAGGUUUUGGGGAGUUAUGUCUGAUCCAACAUAAAAAUUAUUUGACUGUAAGUUUUAUACUGAUAUUUCCAAAUCACCACUGGGGCUAUCAAGCCAUUCUCUGUUUUUAAUGUAAAUUGACCUUUUGUUAAGCAUUGGCCCAGCAGAUAGCAUCCCCUCGAAGGAAACAGACAGGCACGUGCUUUGUUCGGAUCCUCCAACUCCUGAACAGCCAAUGCAGGUCUUCAUAUUACAAGGCAGCAACUAGCAUAAGAAACAGCUCCCAAGUUAGCCUUGCCUCUGCCAUAUGGUGCCCUUGCCUACAGCUUCUUCAGAAAAACUCUGUUUAUAAUCCCUUGCAAAGGAGUGAAUUCAGAUUUUUCUUGAAAUGAUUGUAAUGGGAUUUUUAAUUGCUUUUGUAAUGUUAAAGAACAGACAAUGCUAGUAGCGUACCAACAGCCCCAUCAUCGUUUUUAGCCUGUCUCCCUCUCAAGGAAAGAAUGCUGAUAAAUUGAGAGAGAUUAAAAGGAUUUAAUUUGGAUUUAUCUUUCUUAAUUUUCAAGACUUAAACCCACCCUUUGAAUGCUUCUUUAUGAGGAAGUGAUCUGAAAUCUUUAUUAGUUUAAUAGGAUUUGGCUAAUAUUACAGCCCUUAUCCAAUACUCAAGCUGGAUUUCCAUCAACAGUCUAAACAGAUUUCCCUGACACUAAGGCAAAUCCUCUCUGUAAACAAUUGUAGCUGCCUAACACAAGCCUUGCUACUAGUGCUUUCCCUCCACAUGAGUAAGCGAUCUCUGUAGAAACCCUCUCCUAAGGAAAGGUGAGGCAGGUGUGACUAAGUGCCAACUACCUGCUUGGUUCUCCAUUAUGUCAUGUGAUUAAUUAUGUCCAAAUUUUCUUUUCUUCUCUCUGCAUUCUUCUUCCACCUAAAAGUGGGUGAAGAACCCCUGUAAUUCUGUCACAAAAUCUGCAGUGAGAGAUGAUUAAUAAAAUUUCACUGACCACCUUCUCCCGUCUCUAAAUUCUUGUAUUCCUGGGAAGCUACAAGCUGACCAUACAACAGCUGUCUCCAUCCCUGAGCUACUUGCAGAGUUUUCCCUCUUUUCCAGCUACUCGUAACAGUUGAAAAUGGCAAGCAUGUGCAAUGUGGUGUUCCCUCUGUCUCUUGCAGCUCCUUCUGUUUGCCUUAUAUUGCAGGUAGAAGAAAAUCUGGGUUUGUAAUCUACACUGUCCUGUGUUUUGAAUAUUAUUUAGCAGGGAACCAAUACCCAUUUUGCUUUUCUAGGACAUAUUAUGACAGCUGUGAAUUUUUUAAAUUGUGAAAAUAAUUAUCAGAAAAAUAAAAUAUUUCUCAUGGAAAAAAAAUGUUAAGCAUCCCCCAUUGUGAUCUCAGUGAGCAAAAUGCCUCAUUUUUCUUUCUGAUACAUAACAUCUGCAUCCUGCAUAUCCCCAAGAAAAGCCUGUUUUGUCUGGUCUUUGGUGGUUCCAUACAUCAGUAAGAGCUAGCUCAAGUUAACUUGAUUAUUUUUUAAAGCUAACAUGCAGUUUUCAACUGCAUGUGCAGAAGUGGCUGACAGAGCAAGCGAAAGGGAGCUACCAGAGAGGUGUUGAUGAAGCAGGGCCAGUCACCAGGGGUAAUGGCUAUCAUUCCCCAGCAAGUCUCAGCCUCAUUUAACCUGUUUUUACUAAUAUUUAAUUUCUUUUUAUUCUACAGUCUAUUUUUAUUUAAUUUAUUUUAAAAUUUAUUUAAUGUAAUUAAUUUUAUUUUAUUUUAUUCUAAAGUUUUUACAGGGGCUUCAGUACUAUACCUUGAGAAGGAACUUUCUUCUGCUCAUGAAGGCAAAAUCACUGUAUUUGAGGUAAAUCCCCACUCUGGUUAGAAAGGUAGAAAAGAAUAUGAUUAAAUAAUUGUGUGUCGCUGUCCUUCCUCCCCCUGUCUUUUCACAUUUCUUCUCAGAUGAGGAAUGGAAUGUAGUGCCCACAGGGUAAGGCAGUUAUUUCGGAGUUUACAGACUAUCACAGCCGAAUGCUCAGUGACUCCACCUAAGAACAAGUAGCUUCUGAAAGGUGAACCCCCUCCCUCCUAACUUUCCAAUAAUCAGAUUACCAGCAACAGCAGUUUGAGGCAUUCAGCGUAACAUCUGGGACAUGCAGAUGUUCUGAAGAAUAGAAAGUCAAGGAAUUCCUAUGGGUAGGCGCUCGCUGCAAGUCGUGACUUACCCACAGGCAGUCCUCAGUCGAACCCACGUCAGUCACUAGAUGGCACACUUAAACAACGCACUGCGCUUCCUUACCUUGCUGCACAGGUGCUGGGCUGCGCCGGAGAGCUUUUCCCACGGGAGACAAGGGAUUCUUUGAUGCACGGCCUUCUGCUGUGUACCUUGUAUUUUUAUUGCAGUUUCCUGUCUUCAUUGUUGGUGGUAUCUGGUAACUUAAGGUCCUGAAGUCUUACUGUGUGGCAAGAAGAAAUUAAGCUGGGGCAGAGCAGGAGGAAGAAGAGAACCAGGACUAGUGCUCACACCUGCAACCUUCUCUCCAUGGGUCCUUUUUCCUUGAGCACCUUCUACUAUGCCAAAAGACUGCAAGGUGUAAAAACAUACAGCAACUAUUUUGUAUCAACUAAUGCAUACAGUACACAGGUACAACUAACAGCCUACUCAGCUAAGUAUUACUUAAAUGUUAACUAUUACCCAAGUACUUUAGUACAGGUUACUCAACUGAGUAUUGCAAAUAUUAUCAGGCAAGCAGCUGUUGGUCAGGAAGGGAACUUUUCAUUUCCAUGGCUCUUUAGAGUGGAUCAUGACCCCUUGUCCGGCCAAGCUGCUGUCUGCUGAAUCUCUGCCUUCUUUCUGAGGGUGCUGCAUCUUUCCCCCCUCCCUAGUAUUUUCCAACUAACUUACUGCUGUCACAAUUUCACUUCUCCCUGCAUACUUACUUUCAUAUGGCUUUAGCUUACACACUUUCUUGCAGCUGGACAACUUUGUAACCAAAACUCAGCCAAGGUAUCACAGCUGUGUCCCCACAAAAGCAAGCCUUGGGUCUUCACAGGCAGCUGAACAUCUGCACUGCUGUUUGGUGUUUGAAAGUUAGCUGCACAUUUCCACCAGAACAGAGACAUUAUAUUGCUCUCUGUUGUGACACCUAGACUGGUGUUAUACUGACCAUUAACAGUGGGGGGUUUGAAUUCUGAUUAGGGCAGGUUAGACUACUAGCUCUUUGGAUAUUUUGGUACUGUCAUGAAGUUCAUGCUAGGCAGCCCAUUGUAACACCAGCAACAGAGACCUUGAAUUAACCAUUGCUUAUAUCACUGAAAGUCUUUCUGAUAAACACACUGGUUUUGAUUUCUGAAAAAAAAUCUUCUAGUGAUAGAAACUGUCCCACAGGCACAGAUAGGUUGUCCCAGUGAUUGCUUUAACCCCUUAAGAAGGACCAAGUGCACCAGCAUGUUUUCAGCAAGACAUGCUGAUUUUGAAAUAGACUGUGAAAGAUGUGAACAACAGAUUUUGUGGUGGAGUCUUUUAUAGAGAACAAAGAGAGUAUUAGAAUCCACCUUGUGAAAGUUCAGACAUACAGGAAGAAGACCAAGCUUUUUGAAUAGCAGAGCAGAAAAGCCCCCAGGUAACUGAUAACUAAAAGAAGCACUUACUUAUCAGAAGCCACACAUAUGGAGAACGAAGAAUAUGAUCUUGGUGGGGCAGCUGGAAAAAAAAUCUUUGAUUUGCUGGUUAAUCAGAAUGUACUGCAGGGAAAUCAAUAUAAGGAUAAUCUCAUUUGCUAUUUAUUUCUGGCUCAUAUUUUCACAGGCUUGGAAAUACGCUUUUCAUCAGUCAUCUACUCUGGAGAGGAACGGCAUGAAUUUCAACGCUUCUGCUAUUUUCACCUGCAAAAUAUUCAAAAUUGUUUCUGCAGAAGCUAUGGGCAGCAGUGGGGGACAUUUAUUUAAAGAAAUUUGGAACAAUGGAUCACUAGUGAUUAAAAUAAAAAUGGAAAUUACAUUCCAGAUGCAGGAGGCAAAUGAGUAUUUCAUUUAUGAUACUUUGCCAUUUAGCAUGUAUGAACCAGCUCUGAGCGGCUGCAUUUUGGAAAUUUUGAAACCUGGUUGUCUUUUGAAUCCUAUGAAAAAUGUAGAUUCAGGCUCCGUGUUUUAUGCUAAUGUGAAUAGGUGAAGGAGAAUACCAGUUUGUAGAAACAAGGGAAUUAGCAUGUGAAUGGGGAGUAUUGGACUUCUCCCUCUUGAAAAGGCAGCUUUCAAAGUAGAAACUGGGAUUUAAAUCUCACACUGAUUUUUCUCUUUUCAUAUCCUCAAAUCAUGUUACUUGCAGUGCAUUAACAGCCUUUGAGCCUGUACCCCAUUGGGCUACAGGUGCUGUCAUUUUAACUAAUAGCUAUAAUCUACAAAUCUAACAAUCAAUGAACCAACCUGUUUUCUCCACCACCACCCCCCCCUUCUUAAUUCUACUCUUGGAUCUCAGUUUCAGUUUUCAGGACUGACGGUUAUAAAAAUACUUGCAAAGAAAGAAGCUGACUGUGAGACCAGCCUGGACUCCCUCCUUCCUCAUCAAAUCCUGUUUUUCAGAGGACUGCAUUGUCAGCCUCACCAGAGAGGUUUGCUUCCAGUGCUGAUGUAUUCCUUGCAAACAAAACAAGCUUGCAGCAGCAUGUUGAUGAAUAAGCUAGAUUGCAGUGACACAGGAGAAUUAGUGCCUACUGAAGGGAGACAACUUGUGGAGAUAGUUUCAGGAAUGCUUUCAGCAUAAGCGGCCAUCCACAUGUCUAAAACUGCACAGCUCAAACAACUUGGUCCCAUACUGCUACGGAUCAAGCCAUCUUCAGCAGAGACUACAUUCACAUUCUCUGCUCAUGUGAAGUAAAAAUUCAGGAAUCUCUGCUGUGACUGAAACUCCCCAAUGAAAGCAGAUUUUUGCCUUCCGAGCUCUUCUCCUCCCUCUCCCCCACCUCCAUUCCCCUGAAUUAGCCAUAGCAACCUGCCCUGCAUUUCAAACACCUGCUUGCAUUUAUGCAAUGGUGUGACAGUUUGCUUUCCUUCAUUGCAUUUUAUUUGCCUUUGUUUAAUGAUUAAAGCAAACCAAAACCGUUGUA